rnacentral:rRNA from 1 species
UACGGGAGGCAGCAGUGGGGAAUAUUGCACAAUGGGCGAAAGCCUGAUGCAGCUAUGCCGCGUGUAUGAAGAAGGCCUUAGGGUUGUAAAGUACUUUCAUCGGGGAGGAAAAAACAAACUAAUAAUUUUAUUUCUUGACGUUACCCGAAAAAGAAGCACCGGCUAACUCCGUGCCAGCAGCCGCGGUAAUACGGAGGGUGCUAGCGUUAAUCAGAAUUACUGGGCGUAAAGAGCACGUAGGUGGUUUUUUUAAGUCAGAUGUGAAAUCCCUGGGCUUAACCUAGGAACUGCAUUUUGAAACUGAAAUACUAGAGUAUCGUAGAGGGAGGUAGAAUUCUAGGUGUAGCGGUGAAAUGCGUAGAUAUCUGGAGGAAUACCUGUGGCGAAAGCGGCCUCCUAAACGAAUACUGACACUGAGGUGCGAAAGCGUGGGGAGCAAACAGGGAUUAGAUACCCGU